rnacentral:rRNA from 1 species
UACAGAGGGGGCAAGCGUUAUUCGGAAUUAUUGGGCGUAAAGGGCGCGUAGGCGGCUUGGCAAGUGGAUGGUGAAAUCCCUCGGCUUAACCGAGGAACUGCCGUCCAAACUGCUUCGCUUGAGACCGGGAGAGGUGAGUGGAAUUCCCAGUGUAGCGGUGAAAUGCGUAGAUAUUGGGAGGAACACCAGUGGCGAAGGCGGCUCACUGGACCGGUACUGACGCUGAGGCGCGAAAGCGUGGGGAGCAAAUGGG